GACGAACGCUGGCGGCGUGCUUAACACAUGCAAGUCGAACGGAAAGGCCCUGCUUUUGUGGGGUGCUCGAGUGGCGAACGGGUGAGUAACACGUGAGUAACCUGCCCUUGACUUUGGGAUAACUUCAGGAAACUGGGGCUAAUACCGGAUAGGAGCUCCUGCUGCAUGGUGGGGGUUGGAAAGUUUCGGCGGUUGGGGAUGGACUCGCGGCUUAUCAGCUUGUUGGUGGGGUAGUGGCUUACCAAGGCUUUGACGGGUAGCCGGCCUGAGAGGGUGACCGGCCUCAUUGGGACUGAGGUACGGACCAGACUCCUACGGGAGGCAGCAGUGGGGAAUAUUGCAGAAUGGGGGGACGCCUGAUGCAGCGACGCCGCGUGCGGGAUGACGGCCUUCGGGUUGUAAACCGCUUUGGCCUGUGACGAAGCGUGAGUGGCGGUAAUGGGUAAAGAAGCACCGGCUAACUACGUG
rnacentral:rRNA from 1 species